AGGAUGAACGCUGGCGGUGUGCCUAAUACAUGCAAGUCGAACGAGAUCUUCGGAUCUAGUGGCGGACGGGUGAGUAACACGUUAGUACCUGCCCUUUAGUGGGGAAUAACUCGGCGAAAGUCGAGCUAAAUACCGCAUGUGACCGUUUACGGUUAAAGACUUCGGUCGCUAAAGGAGGGGCUUGCGUCUGAUUAGCUAGUUGGUAAGGUAAUGGCUUACCAAGGCGAUGAUCAGUAGCUGGUUCGAGAGGAUGACCAGCCACACUGGGACUGAGAUACGGCCCAGACUCCUACGGGAGGCAGCAGUAAGGAAUCUUCCGCAAUGGACGAAAGUCUGACGGAGCAACACCGCGUGCAGGAUGACGGUCUUCGGAUUGUAAACUGCUUUUCUCGGGGAAGAGAACGGACGGUACCCGAGGAAUCGAGCCCCGGCUAACUACGUGCCAGCAGCCGC
rnacentral:rRNA from 1 species